rnacentral:sRNA from 1 species
AAUGCAAAUCGGGAAAAGGGGAUGAGCUGGGCUGGCUUCCGUCCUGGUAGCCAAGGCUAAUUCUCCCUCGAGUUCUUGGGAGAUGGGCAUUUGCCGAGAAGGCUGGCGUUAGUGAAGUGCGCCCGGCGUCACGGAAAGAACUACUUUUAAGGAAAUAUAGCAUCCAUUGUGAAAGUGGAAAAGUAAAGAUAAUUCAUCAUGCCUGCUGUGGCUUCAGUUCCUAAAGAACUCUACCUCAGUUCUUCACUAAAAGACCUCAAUAAGAAGACAGAAGUUAAACCAGAGAAAAUAAGCACUAAGAGUUAUGUGCACAGUGCCCUGAAGAUCUUUAAGACAGCAGAAGAAUGCAGAUUAGAUCGUGAUGAGGAAAGGGCCUAUGUACUAUAUAUGAAAUACGUGACUGUUUAUAAUCUUAUCAAAAAAAGACCUGAUUUCAAGCAACAGCAGAUAUGAAGAAGCUGAAGUCCGGAAAAAACUUGAGGAAAAAGACAGGCAGGAGGAAGCACAGCGGCUACAACAAAAAAGGCAGGAAACAGGAAGAGAGGAUGGUGGCACAUUGGCUAAAGGUUCUUUGGAGAACGU